rnacentral:lncRNA from 1 species
AAACACGUGGGCUUCGCCUUGCGAGCAUGACAGCUCAUGAACAAACCUUUGCUCCUUCAAGAUUAACGUUUUGACUAACGAAUAGAGCCCUGUUGGAAGUAACUCAAGUCUUUCCCUUGUGUUGACUGAUCAUCUAAAUAGAACCCAUAAAGUGUCCUGGAUGAUGUUCAAGCUUCUUGGAGCUAAUCCCGAUUGACAUGAUGAAAUGCAAUGUAUCUAAUGUUAAAUGACCUAAAAAUGAAUGCGUGAAUAAGGAGGGAAAAUUUUAGGGUGUUACA